rnacentral:rRNA from 1 species
AUUGAACGCUGGCGGCAUGCCUUACACAUGCAAGUCGAACGGUAACGCGGGGCAACCUGGCGACGAGUGGCGAACGGGUGAGUAAUGCAUCGGAACGUGCCUGGUAGUGGGGGAUAACUGCCCGAAAGAGCAGCUAAUACCGCAUACGACCUGAGGGUGAAAGGGGGGGAUCGCACGCCCUCUCGCUAUCCGAGCGGCCGAUGUCGGAUUAGCUAGUUGGUGGGGUAAAGGCCCACCAAGGCAACGAUCCGUAGCUGGUCUGAGAGGACAGACGAGCCACACUGGGACUGAGACACGGCCCAGACUCCUACGGGAGGCAGCAGUGGGGAAUUUUGGACAAUGGACGCAAGUCUGAUCCAGCCGUGCCGCGUGCGGGAAGAAGGCCUUCGGGUUGUAAACCGCUUUUGUCAGGGAAGAAAUCUUCUGGGCUAAUACCCUGGGAGGAUGACGGUACCUGAAGAAUAAGCACCGGCUAACUACGUGCCAGCCGCCGCAGUAAAAC